GACGAACGCUGGCGGCGUGCCUAAUACAUGCAAGUAGAACGCUGAAGGAGGAGCUUGCUCUUCUGGAUGAGUUGCGAACGGGUGAGUAACGCGUAGGUAACCUGCCUGGUAGCGGGGGAUAACUAUUGGAAACGAUAGCUAAUACCGCAUAAGAGUAGAUGUUGCAUGACAUUUACUUAAAAGGUGCAAUUGCAUCACUACCAGAUGGACCUGCGUUGUAUUAGCUAGUUGGUGGGGUAACGGCUUACCAAGGCGACGAUACAUAGCCGACCUGAGAGGGGGAUCGGCCACACUGGGACUGAGACACGGCCCAGACUCCUACGGGAGGCAGCAGUAGGGAAUCUUCGGCAAUGGACGGAAGUCUGACCGAGCAACGCCGCGUGAGGGAAGAAGGUUUUCGGAUCGUAAAGCUCUGUUGUAAGAGAAGAACGAGUGUGAGAGUGGAAAGUUCACACUGUGACGGUAUCUUACCAGAAAGGGACGGCUAACUACGUG
rnacentral:rRNA from 1 species